GAGGGUAUAGCUCAGUGGUAGAGUGUAUGCUUAGCACUUAGAGUGCACUCCUGGGUUCAAUCCCCAGUAUCUCCA
rnacentral:tRNA from 1 species